rnacentral:tRNA from 1 species
GGGGACAUGGCGGAACUGGUAGACGCAAGCGACUUAAAAUCGCUCGGAGUGAUCCGUCCGGGUUCGAUUCCCGGUGUCCCCACCA